rnacentral:misc_RNA from 1 species
AACGCACAUUGCGCCUGCCAGCAUUCUGGCAGGCAUGCCUGUCCGAGCGUCAUUUCCACCCUCAUGCGCCCUGUCUGCGCGUGGUGUUGGGGCUCUGCUCUCCCUGCCCUGGUGCGGGAGAGGCCCUGAAAGCGAGUGGCGGGCCGCCUGGUUGGCUCCGAGCGCAGUAGAAACGCACUGUUUUUUUCAUCGCUCUGGACGUCGCCGGCGGCGCCUGCCGUCAAAACGCACAAUGACGUGCAACUUUUUUACAAGGUUGACCUCGGAUCAGGUAGGACUACCCGCUGAACUUAA